GACGAACGCUGGCGGCGUGCUUAACACAUGCAAGUCGAACGAUGAACCCGGAGCUUGCUCCGGCGGAUUAGUGGCGAACGGGUGAGUAACACGUGAGUAACCUGCCCUUGACUCUGGGAUAACUGCUAGAAAUGGUAGCUAAUACCGGAUACGACCCUCGGCGGCAUCGCCAGGGGGUGGAAAGAAUUUCGGUCAAGGAUGGACUCGCGGCCUAUCAGCUAGUUGGUGAGGUAACGGCUCACCAAGGCGACGACGGGUAGCCGGCCUGAGAGGGUGACCGGCCACACUGGGACUGAGACACGGCCCAGACUCCUACGGGAGGCAGCAGUGGGGAAUAUUGCACAAUGGGCGCAAGCCUGAUGCAGCAACGCCGCGUGAGGGAUGACGGCCUUCGGGUUGUAAACCUCUUUCAGCUAUGACGAAGCGCAAGUGACGGUAGUAGCAGAAGAAGGACCGGCCAACUACGUGCCAGCAGCCGCAGUAA
rnacentral:rRNA from 1 species